UACCUGUGGGGAAUGAGUGUGAUUCAUCUCUGCUAGAGACUGUGUUGGGUAGUCUAAUAUCAACUUGAACUGCUUAUCAAAUAAGUUGUGUAAUAUUCUAAAUGCAUCAUGUUCAGCAAUGUUCACAGCACCCAAAGUUGAGAAGGGUCUGAGGCAGCAGGGGGCUGGAGAGUUAGCACUGCCCCAAGUGAGUAUACACCGACCAGGUAGCAACAGUGCCUGGGCUCGGCCACCACUUUGCUCCAAAACUGGAGUGGACACCAGGUGCAGGGAGAGGCCAGGCAACAGGAGCAGGCACUUCCGAGACUGGGGGCAAGGGAACUUCCUGGGCCCCAGAGACCACAAGAAUGCCUGGGUCUGCAGCUGCAGCUGGGCAGCUAUGGCUGCUCCCAGGAGGGCAGGGAUCCUGCCCCUUUAACUCAGAAGGUGGCAUGGCUCCUGCCUGUUCCUGGCUCCCACAGGCUCCACAGAGUAGACAGCCCUGGCCAAACCUCCCUCACUGCAGCAGGCAUUAUGGCAGCAGCUGCUACAGAUGGGCUGCCACCACCAUCAAUAUUACAUUAGGCUAUAUACUUCUUUUUAUUUUAUGAGUCUUAAUAAGAAAAUGGGUGC
rnacentral:lncRNA from 10 species